rnacentral:rRNA from 1 species
UGGGGAAUCUUGGACAAUGGGGCGAACCCUGAUCCAGCCAUGCCGCGUGAGUGAUGAAGGCCUUAGGGUCGUAAAGCUCUUUCGCCUGUGAAGAUAAUGACGGUAGCAGGUAAAGAAACCCCGGCUAACUCCGUGCCAGCAGCCGCGGUAAUACGGAGGGGGUUAGCGUUGUUCGGAAUUACUGGGCGUAAAGCGCACGUAGGCGGACCAGAAAGUUGGGGGUGAAAUCCCGGGGGCUCAACCCCGGAACUGCCUCCAAAACUAUUGGUCUAGAGUUCGAGAGAGGUGAGUGGAAUUCCAAGUGUAGAGGUGAAAUUCGUAGAUAUUGGGAAGAACACCAGUGGCGAAGGCGGCUACCUGGACCGAUACUGACGCUGAGGCGCGAAAGCGUGGGGAGCAAACAGGAUUAGAUACCCCUGGUAGUCCACGCCGUAAAACGAUGGUCUGCUAGUCGUUGGGGGGCGUAGCCCUUCAGUGACGCCGCUAACGCAUU